CAAUCGAGCCCGGAGAGAGCUGGUGCUCCCCGAAAUAGCUUUAGGGCUAGCAUCAAGGUGAGAGAUACGGAGGUAGAGCACUGAAUGGCCUAGAGGGUAGUGCAGCUACCGAAUGUGUGCAAACUCCGAAUGCCGUCAUCGUAUACUUGGGAGUCAGGCUGUGGGUGAUAAGAUUCAUAGUCGAAAGGGCAACAGACCAGAUCGUCAGCUAAGGUCCCUAAAUGUAAGUUAAGUGGUAAAGGAUGUGUGAUUGCACAGACAACCAGGAUGUUGGCUUAGAAGCAGCCACUCAUUCAAAUAGUGCGUAAUAGCUCACUGGUCGAGUGAUCCUGCGCCGAAGAUUUCCGGGGCUAAACCUUACUAACGAAGCUACGGCAUCAGUAAUGAUGGGUAGGGGAGCUUCCCAUACGGGUUGAAGCAUGACCGUAAGGACAUGUGGACAGUAUGGGAG
rnacentral:rRNA from 1 species